rnacentral:tRNA from 25 species
CGGGGAGUAGCGCAGUCUGGUAGCGCAUCUGCUUUGGGAGCAGAGGGUCGCAGGUUCGAAUCCUGUCUCCCCGACCA